GAUGCCCUUCUCAACAUCAACACGUUCCUUCUACAGGCCUAUUGUAACGCUAUUUGUCCUGAGGUUUUACCCGCGGGUGGUGUUCAGUGUUCUGUCUACUUAUUGAGAUGCGUCCAACUUCCCUUCUCAUCAUGGCGGCUGCCGUGGUUGCCAUGGUGAUCGGAGACGCUGUGGCAGACCAGGAGAGAAAUCGAGGACUUGGAGGAAACGAGGGAGGAAAAGGACUUGGAGGAAACGAAGGAGGAAAAGGACUUGGAGGAAACGAGGGAGGAAAAGGACUUGGAGGAAACGAAGGAGGAAAAGGACUUGGAGGAAACGAAGGAGAGGAAAGUGAUGACUUCAGCCGCGCCGUUUACCAGGACCCGACGUCGCAGCUGGAGAUCUCAGAGGAAGACGAGAGGUAGAGAGGCUUGUU